rnacentral:lncRNA from 1 species
UGACUCCGCUGUCCUGGCGUCGUGAGGGAGCUUGUUCCACCAUUGGGGUGCCAGAGCAGCGAACAGUUUUGACUGGGCUGAGCGGGAACUGUGCUUCCUCAGAGGUAGGGAGGCGAGCAGGCCAGAGGAGGAUGAACGCAGUGCCCUUGUUUGGGUGUAGGGCCUGAUCAGAGCCUGAAGGUACGGAGGUGCCGUUCCCCUCACAGCUCCGUAGGCAAGCAGCAUGGUCUUGUAGCGGAUGCGAGCUUCAACUGGAAGCCAGUGGAGAGAGCGGAGGAGUGGGGUGACGUGAGAGAACUUGGGAAGGUUGAACACCAGACGGGCUGCGGCGUUCUGGAUGAGUUGUAGGGGUUUAAUGGCACGGGCAGGGAGCCCAGCCAACAGCGAGUUGCAGUAAUCCAGACGGGAGAUGACAAGUGCUUGGAUUAGGACCUGCGCCGCUUCCUGUGUGAGGCAGGGUCGUACUCUGCGAAUGUUGUAGAGCAUGAACCUACAGGAUCGGGUCACCGCCUUGAUGUUAGUGGAGAACGACAGGGUGUUGUCCAGGGUCACGCCAAGGUUCUUAGCACUCUGGGAGGAGGACACAAGGGAGUUGUCAACCGUGAUGCAAGAUCAUGGAACGGGCAGUCCCUCCCCGGGAGGAAGAGCAGCUCCGUCUUGCUGAGGUUCAGCUUGAGGUGGUGAUCCGUCAUCCACACUGAUAUGUCUGCCAGACAUGCAGAGAUGCGAUUCGACACCUGGUUAUCAGAAGGGGGAAAGGAGAAGAUUAAUUGUGUGUCGUCUGCAUAGCAAUGAUAGGAGAGACCAUGUGAGGAUAUGACAGAGCCAAGUGACUUGGUGUAUAGCGAGAAUAGGAGAGGGCCUAGAACAGAACCCUGGGGGACACCAGUGGUGAGAGCACGUGGUGCGGAGACAGAUUCUCGCCACGCCACCUGGUAGGAGCGACCUGUCAGGUAGGACGCAAUCCAAGGGUGGGCCGCGCCGGAGAUGCCCAACUCGGAGAGGGUGGAGAGGUGGAUCUGAUGGUUCACAGUAUCAAAGGCAGCAGAUAGGUCUAGAAGGAUGAGAGCAGAGGAGAGAGAGUUAGCUUUAGCAGUGCGGAGAGCCUCCGUGACACAGAGAAGAGCAGUCUCAGUUGAAUGACCAGUCUUGAAACCUGACUGAUUUGGAUCAAGAAGGUCAUUCUGAGAGAGAUAGCAGGAGAGCUGGCCAAGGACGGCACGUUCAAGAGUUUUGGAGAGAAAAGAAAGAAAGGAUACUGGUCUGUAGUUGUUGACAUCAGAGGGAUCGAGUGUAGGUUUUUUCAGAAGGGGUGCAACUCUCGCUCUCUUGAAGACGGAAGGGACGUAGCCAGCGGUCAAGGAUGAGUUGAUGAGCGAGAUGAGGUAAGGGAGAAGGUCUCCGGAAAUGGUCUGGAGAAGAGAGGAGGGGAUAGGGUCAAGUGGGCAGGUUGUUGGGCAGCCGGCGGUCACAAGACGCGAGAUUUCAUCUGGAGAGAGAGGGGAGAAAGAGGUCAAAGCACAGGGUAGGGCAGUGUGAGCAGGACCAGCAGUGUCAUUUGACUUAGCAAACGAGGAUCGGAUGUCGUCAACCUUCUUUUCAAAAUGGUUGACGAAGUCAUCCGCAGAGAGGGAGGGGGGGGGAGGGAGAGGAGGAUUCAGGAGGGAGGAGAAGGUGGCAAAGAGCUUCCUAGGGUUAGAGGCAGAUGCUAGGAAUUUAGAGUGGUAGAAAGUGGCUUUAGCAGCAGAGACAGAAGAGGAAAAUGUAGAGAGGAGGGAGUGAAAGGAUGCCAGGUCCGCAGGGAGGCGAGUUUUCCUCCAUUUCCGCUCGGCUGCCCGGAGCCCUGUUCUGUGAUCUCGCAGUGAGUCGUCGAGCCACGGAGCAGGAGGGGAGGACCGAGCCGGCCUGGAGGAUAGGGGACAGAGAAAAUCAAAGGAUGCAGAAAGGGAGGAGAGGAGGGUUGAGGAGGCAGAAUCAGGAGAUAGGUUGGAGAAGGUUUUGAGCAGAGGGAAGAGAUGAUAGGAUGGAAGAGGAGAGAGUAGCGGGAGAGAGAGAGCGAAGGUUGGGAUGUCGCAAUACAAUCCGAGUAGGGGCAGAGUGAGAAGUGUUGGAUGAGAGCGAGAGGGAAAAGGAUACAAGGUAGUGGUCGGAGACUUGGAGGGGAGUUGCGAUGAGAUUAGUGGAAGAACAGCAUCUAGUAAAGAUGAGGUCAAGCGUAUUGCCUGCCUUGUGAGUAGGGGGGGAAGGUGAGAGGGUGAGGUCAAAAGAGGAGAGGAGUGGAAAGAAGGAGGCAGAGAGGAAUGAGUAGACGUGGGGAGGUUAAAGUCACCCAGAACUGUGAGAGGUGAGCCAUCCUCAGGAAAGGAACUUAUCAAGGCGUCAAGCUCAUUGAUGAACUCUCCAAGGGAACCUGGAGGGCGAUAAAUGAUAAGGAUGUUAAGCUUGAAAGGGCUGGUAACUGUGACAGCAUGGAAUUCAAAUGAGGAGAUAGACAGAUGGGUCAGGGGAGAAAGAGAGAAUGUCCACUUGGGAGAGAUGAGGAUUCCAGUGCCACCACCCC